AAUGUGCAAAACUCUGAAAAAAAUUGAUGAUAAUCACAUAUGAGGCCCAGCAACGUGCCAUCGAUGCAUCACCUGCACCUAGCAUUAACCAACUAAAGACUGAUUGGCCUUUCCUGAAGAGUUCUUUCCUUGUUCAUGAAGAGAUUUCUGAUCCAGAAUUCCAGUACACUUACAGGCAUUGAAUUAGAAGCAAGACUCAGGGAGUCCAUCACUGGAAAAGGAAGAAAGGUUCUCCAUUUCUUCAAGUCUCAAUUGCUGCGCUGGAGAAAAGAGGUGAGGACAGUCCUUGCAGACAUAGAAAGAGAAUCUAGAGAUGUGGAUCCUGGCCUUGCUGCCAUUUGGUGAUAAUGGCAAUCUUCAAAGAAAAAGAAGAUUCACUUUUCCUUCUGGCUGAUCCGCCCCCUCAUCGGCUCUGCUUGAACGCACCUCAUAUGAAGUUUCAGGAAGGUGUGUUGAAGAUUGCACACGUCUGAGAAUAAACCACUCUUCUAGCGCAUGCUGCUUCUUAUCUGUAUCGCUGAAUCAUGCAUAACAUCACAUGUGCGGAGAUUCAGACUCCAGUGGGGUUUCUGUAUGUGAUUCUGCCUGUUAUACUGAAUCAAACACUCAAUCCUGACUGUGAGCAGGGCUGGUAUUCAGAGGAUGGAUUUAAGAUAGCAGAUCCAUCAACUCCUCAAACAGUGGUUGAUCCUGUUAUUUCUGUCUCAUCUGAUCGCCUUGUCACUUCUUACUGUGUGAAUCUGAAUCAUCAGAUCAUCUGUGAUUCUGCUGAUGGACUUCAUUACAGUCAUGAGCUCAUGUUCAGAGUGAGGAAUGAAACUGCAAAGAUUCCAAGCUCAAAUAUUCUGAAUGAAGUGACUCCAGAUCUCCUGCACUCAGAUCAGUUGUGGUGGUUUUCUGUCCUGAUCUUCAUUGUUCUGGCAUUUCUAUGUUUCUUGAUGCGUAAAAGGAUUUUCAGGUGUUUUCAGAGGGAAGCUUGGUUCAUCUGUCAGCAUGAGGAUUCAGAAAACAGGGAUCCUCAAUCUGAUGAAGAUCUGAUCUGAUCAUCCUCAUUCAUGGCAGUUUAAUUCCCUUCGUGUUCAAAGGAUGAUCAUCAUCAUCAUCAUCAUCAUCAUCACAGUCAUGUACUCAAACUCAAGGCUGAAUGUCACUGUGAUGUUCAACAUGAUCAGGGGAGUUCUGAACCAUUCUUAACUUGUUUAAACACUUAACAGCCUAUUUUCAUGCAUUUCAAUCCCUCCCCAGCAGGCACACAAUGUCAUAAGACAUUGGUAUUUGGUUACAUUUCGGUUGCGACAUCGGGUGACCAAAAUACAAUGUAAAUUCAAAGUCCUAAUGCCAAUUUGAUGUCCAAUGCCGACGUCAGCUGACCUUGAUAUUUGUUGUUUUUAGGUUGUGUAACCAAAAGUCAAUGUCAAAUCGGCAUCAAAUACUGACGUCAACUCGAUUUUCAUUCUCAACCAAAAUGCAAUAUCUGUCCAACGUCAAUCUGACAUUAUAUUGAUGUCUUGUGCCUACUGGGUCCAGUUUUUCACUGUUCUGUAAUCACUGAAAUUAAUGUAAACAUAGACAAACAAAAUGAAGCAAGCUAAGUGAUAAUUGUUCAAUAUGGCUGGGUGGUAUGACAGGAUAAAGUGUCAUUUGAUUUUCAUUUAUAUCAGGCUAUGUAGCCUAUAUCUGCAGAGCUUUGCAGGCAUAAAUUUAGCAACUCGUUAGAGUUAUUAAGAAACAUGGAUGAAUGACAAAAAAGUAUGAAAUGCUUGAUAGAGCAGUAUAUUGUGAAACAGAGCUUGUGACUGACAUCAUACUGACAGACAUAAGACUGACAUUCAGUUUUUUAGGUUUAUUAUACUUGAAAGGUUAAAUACACACAGUCAUGCCAAAAUGUGAGCAUGUGUGAGUAUUCAUGUAAACACAAUCGAUUAUGUUUUAAAUGAACAAAAGUUUAGGGAAAAACCGUUUGAGAAGUGUGCCAAUAUUGUAUCCACACAUUAUUGCUGUAGGUCUUAAAGUGUCUAUUAUUUACACACUGCUGCCGUUGAUGCCAAAAUAAAACCCAAAUUUUAUGCUUUUUGUUUGCUUUU
ensembl:lncRNA